GACGAACGCUGGCGGCGUGCUUAACACAUGCAAGUCGAACGGAAAGGCCCUGCUUUUGUGGGGUGCUCGAGUGGCGAACGGGUGAGUAACACGUGAGUAACCUGCCCUUGACUUUGGGAUAACUCUAGGAAACUGGGGCUAAUACCGGAUAGGAGCUCUUGCUGCAUGGUGGGGGUUGGAAAGUUUCGGCGGUUGGGGAUGGACUCGCGGCUUAUCAGCUUGUUGGUGGGGUAGUGGCUUACCAAGGCUUUGACGGGUAGCCGGCCUGAGAGGGUGACCGGCCACAUUGGGACUGAGAUACGGCCCAGACUCCUACGGGAGGCAGCAGUGGGGAAUAUUGCACAAUGGGCGGAAGCCUGAUGCAGCAACGCCGCGUGCGGGAUGACGGCCUUCGGGUUGUAAACCGCUUUCGCCUGUGACGAAGCGUGAGUGACGGUAAUGGGUAAAGAAGCACCGGCUAACUACGUG
rnacentral:rRNA from 1 species